rnacentral:rRNA from 1 species
UACGUAGGGAGCAAGCGUUGUUCGGAUUUACUGGGCGUAAAGGGCGCGUAGGCGGCAAAUUAAGUCAGCUGUGAAAUCUCCGAGCUUAACUCGGAACGGUCAGCUGAUACUGAUCUGCUAGAGUGCGGAAGGGGCAAUCGGAAUUCUUGGUGUAGCGGUGAAAUGCGUAGAUAUCAAGAGGAACACCUGAGGUGAAGACGGGUUGCUGGGCCGACACUGACGCUGAGGAGCGAAAGCGUGGGUAGCGAACAGG